GUCUUCUUGGUACAGUGGUAGCAUGCUUUCUUAGGGAUGAUAUCUACGUCUAAGAUGGAAGAGGUCCUGGGUUCAAUUCCCAGAGAAGACC
rnacentral:tRNA from 1 species